GCAUAACGCGAAGAACCUUACCAAGGCUUGACAUACACGAGAACACUCUGGAAACAGGGGACUCUUUGGACACUCGUGAACAGGUGGUGCAUGGUUGUCGUCAGCUCGUGUCGUGAGAUGUUGGGUUAAGUCCCGCAACGAGCGCAACCCUCGUUCUAUGUUGCCAGCACGUUAUGGUGGGAACUCAUGGGAUACUGCCGGGGUCAACUCGGAGGAAGGUGGGGAUGACGUCAAAUCAUCAUGCCCCUUAUGUCUUGGGCUUCACGCAUGCUACAAUGGCCGGUACAAAGGGCUGCAAUACCGUGAGGUGGAGCGAAUCCCAAAAAGCCGGUCCCAGUUCGGAUUGAGGUCUGCAACUCGACCUCAUGAAGUCGGAGUCGCUAGUAAUCGCAGAUCAGCAACGCUGCGGUGAAUACGUUCCCGGGUCUUGUACACACCG
rnacentral:rRNA from 1 species